rnacentral:rRNA from 1 species
AACGAACGCUGGCGGCAUGCCUAACACAUGCAAGUCGAACGAGACCUUCGGGUCUAGUGGCGCACGGGUGCGUAACGCGUGGGAACCUGCCCUUAGGUUCGGAAUAACUCCCCGAAAGGGGUGCUAAUACCGGAUAAUGUCUUCGGACCAAGGAUUUAUCGCCUUUGGAUGGGCCCGCGUUGGAUUAGCUAGUUGGUAGGGUAAAAGCCUACCAAGGCGACGAUCCAUAGCUGGUCUGAGAGGAUGAUCAGCCACACUGGGACUGAGACACGGCCCAGACUCCUACGGGAGGCAGCAGCGGGGAAUAUUGGACAAUGGGCGAAAGCCUGAUCCAGCAAUGCCGCGUGAGUGAUGAAGGCCUUAGGGUUGUAAAGCUCUUUUACCCGGGAUGAUAAUGACAGUACCGGGAGAAUAAGCUCCGGCUAACUCCGUG